AUCCGACUUUUGUUUGGAUUCUAAGUUUGUUGUUCAUAUAUUACUAUUAUUGUCCAUUAAAAAUAUGUGCAUUUGGAGUGAACCCUAGUUUCCCGUUUAAGAUUCCGUACCAUGAUUAAUACGGAUAGUUUGGAUUAGUCGUGGUAUGGAAUCUUGAAUUUUCCGUUCGUACAGUUUGGGAACUCUCUUUUUUUUACUUCAUUCGUACUUAUAGGUUAAGUAUGUUGGGUUAUAUUUGAUAAAAUUUCGAGUGCAUACUUGAUUAUGGUCAAUUUAUGUGACUGCUUUCAUUUGGUGUACUUGGAGACCAAUGUCGAAUGCUGCCGAAAUUUCAUCAAAUUUAGCAUAACAUACUUAACUUGUACAUAUGAAUGAAGAAAAAAGGUUGUUCCUGAAUGGGAAUUUCAUGCAUACGGCAUAACAGAGGCGCUCUGAUAGAAUAGAAAACAUGAAUCGAAGUUGGAUUCAAGCACUGCGCAUAAGUGACGAGUAUGAAAAGCGGGUUGAAGAUUUCUUGGAGUUUGUGCAAUAGCAUGCACCCAUGUUGGGUGAAAAUUAUUUCUGUCCAUGUGUUAACUGCGCCAAUGGAAGGCAUCAUUCAUUAAAUGACAUUAGAUCACAUCUUAUUUGUGGCGGCUUCAGUCGAAGUUAUACAAAUUGGAUAUGGCACGUUGAAUUGCCACACAUCCCAACCGUCGCUGACACUAAAACCAUGUACAAACCGGAGAUCGAAUGGAAGACAUGAUACGCGAUCUUGGGCAAGAGGGUUUUCUGCAAGCUCAUGCACCCUAUUAUAAAGAAUUACAAACAUAUUCAAAGUUGUCAUUGUACUUGGGGUUCACAACCUUCACUAAGUUAUUUGCGGUGCUAGCUUUGGUCAACUUGAAGGCCAGAUUUGGGUGGAGUGACAAAAGUCUCACUGAGUUGCUUGUGUUAUUGAAGAAUAUGCUUCCUAACGAUAACAAGUUACCCAAGAGUCACUACGAGGCAAAGAAGAUAUUAUGUCCUGUGGGUAUGGAGUACCAGAAAAUUCAUGCAUGCUGUAAUGAUUGUAUGCUAUACAAAAAUGAGUUUGCGGAAUUGCACAAUUGCCCGACAUGUGGGGUAUCACGAUACAAAGUGAAUGAUGGAAAAUACAGUGAUGAUGUAGGCACAAACAACAAUCGUCCAGCAAAGGUUUGUUGGUACCUUCCAAUUAUACCAAGGUUUAAGCAAUUGUUUGCUAGUGCACACGAUGCUUCAAACCUUACAUGGCAUGCAGUUGGCAGAAAAAAAAUGAUGGGUUACUCCGACAUCCCGCUGAUUCUCCACAAUGGAAGACAAUUGAUCACUUGUAUCCUGAAUUAGGAGCGGAACCAAGAAACCUACGGCUUGGUCUUGCUUCGGAUGGCACGAAUCCAUUUGGUAACUUGAGCACUAGUCACGGUUCAUGGCCUGUUUUGCUAAUGAUUUAUAACCUUCCUCCUUGGUUGUGCAUGAAGCGCAAAUACAUGAUGUUGUGUAUGAUGAUAGCGGGUUCAAGACAGCCAGGAAACAAUAUUGAUGUCUAUCUAACUCCAUUGAUUGAAGACUUGCGCAAGUUGUGGGUAGACGGGAUUGAUGUGUAUGAUGCAAAUGUUGGACAAACCUUUUUAUUGCGUGCGAUGAUAUUUUGCACCGUUAAUGACUUUCCAGCUUAUGGGAAUUUGAGCAGAUAUGGUGUCAAAGGACACCACGCAUGUCCAAUCUUUGAGCAAAACAUGAGUUUCAUCCAACUUAAACAUGGCAAGAAGACGGUAUAUACAAGGCACAGAGAUUUUUGAAACAUUAUCACCCAUAUCGGCAAUUGAAGAAAGCAUUUAAUGGAACCCAUGAUACUGAAGGUGCCCCGAAACCGUUAGUUGGACAUGAAGUGUAUGAUCGGGUGAAAGACAUCGUAACUAUUUUUGGUAAGACACGAAGGAAGGAUCAUGCUGGCAAGAACAUUUGGAAGAAAAGGUCAGUAUUCUUUGAUUUUCCUUAUUGGACCAAUCUACAUGUUCGACAUUGUCUCGACGUAAUGCAUGUGGAGAAAAAUGUGUGAUAGUUUAAUUGGCACCCUUCUUAACAUCAAAGGCAAGACAAAGGAUGGUCUCAAAUGUCGUCAGGAUUUGCCCCCAACAUGUUACACAAUGUCAACCAAGGAGAAAAAACAUUUUUGUCAUUAUCUGAAAAAUGUUAAAGUCCCACAAGGAUACUCUUCCAAUAUCAAGAGCCUUGUGUCAGUUAAUGAUUUAAAGUUGGUUGGCUUGAAAUCUCAUGACUGUCACGUGUUAAUGCAACAACUGUUGCCAGUGGCCGUUCGUGGUAUCUUGCCUGAGAAACUUAGGGUUGUCAUAACCCGCUUGUGUUUUUUCUUUAAUGCUAUUUGUAGAAAGGUUAUCGACCCAGAACAAUUGGAUGAUUUGGAGAAUCGGGCAGCCAUUAUCCUAUGUGAAUUAGAGAUGUAUUUUCCCCCAUCAUUUUUUGACAUCAUGAUUCACUUAAUUGUUCAUCUUGUACGGGAGAUUCGUUGUGUGGGCCCAUGUUUUUACGUUGAAUGUAUCCUAUUGAAUGUUAUAUGAAGGUGUUGAAAGGAUAUACAAAAAAUCAAUAUCGAUCAGAGGCUAGCAUUGUUGAAAGAUAUGUUGUUGAGGAAGCUAUUGAGUUUUGUUCAGAAUAUAUAAACACUGAUACAUUAGUGGGAGUUCCUCAAAGUCGUCAUGACUUCUCCAUUGAAGGUCGGGGCAUACGAGGAUUCAAUGUUGUAACUAUGGAUCGCCAACAACUGUCACAAGCUCAUCUAUACGUAUUACAUAACACAACAGAGGUCAUCCCAUACAUAGAUGCUUACAAACAACAUGUUACUGGUAUUCACCCAAAAAUGAACAUGAUGAGGUUGUUGCAAGAGCACAAUAGAAAUUUUAUCCUAUGGUUUAGAGAAACAAUCUUCGCCGAUCAUAGUGCUUCGAACACAUUAAGAUUGCUAGUUGUCGGUCCAACUUGGAAGGGCUAUGAUAUCAAUCAUUAUUCUUUCUACACAAAGUCCCAGGAUGAUAAAAGUAGUGUGCAGAAUAGUGGGGUGACUGUUGAUGGUCAAUCUGAUCACUUUUGUAGUGCUUCAGAUAACAAUCUCAUUCAAGCAUGCAUGCCUUACUAUAGAGUCAUGGAAGAUAUUUGGGAGCUUGAUUACAGUCAAUUUAGAGUACCUCUAUUCAAGUGCCAGUGGGUCAAUGGAAAUACCGGUGUGCGUCAAGACCAAAUGGGAUUUACUUUAGUAGACCUUCAAAGGGUAGGUUACGAGGACGACCCAUUCAUUAUGGCAGUGCAAGCUCAGCAAGUGUUUAUGUAGAAGAUCCCAACAACUCUAGAUGGUAAGUGGUUUUGCAAGGGAGAACAAUUUCUAUCGGUCACCAUAUUGAUGGUUCAACACUUGAUGUCAGUGACAUGCCGCCUUUCUCCAAAGACAUGCCUUUGAUUAAUGAUGAACAACAAGAAGAUGAUGUAUAUGCAAAUCGUACUGAUCAUGACAAGGGUUUAUGGGAGAACAUUCCUACAUAACUGCGCUUAUGGCAACACCCCCAAGGUCCCCGCCACAUUCAGAUAAUCCUCUCGAGGUUACUUCAAGGAGGACUAGACAAUCCACCAGGCUUAGAAGCUUGACUACUAGAAGCUUAGAUAAUCCAUGACCAAUUGUUAACGUCAAUCCUGCUACUGGUAGAGGAUCAGGGCCCUAUAAAGAAAAAUUUCAUAGUUAUCUAGGGGUUGUGGCAAGAGAAAAAAUUCCUAUUAUCCACUCCAAUUGGAAUCUUGUCUCGAACAAUUUAAAGAACCUAAUAUGGGAAGAUAUUUUGGUAAGUGGUUUUAAGUACACGUAUGUUUAUGA